UGUUAAAGUAGAGCAACGGUAGCUCAUUUAGGCUCAUGGCUUAAAAACGUGCAGGUUCAAAUCCUGCCUUUAACAU
rnacentral:tRNA from 1 species